rnacentral:tRNA from 2 species
GCUGGCGUGGCACAAUUGGUAGCGCAGGUGAUUUGUAAUCAUCAGGUUGCGGGUUCAAGUCCUGUCGCCAGCUCCA